UGACGGGCCCGCACAAGCAGCGGAGCGUGUGGUUUAAUUCGAUGCUACACGAAGAACCUUACCAGGGUUUGACAUGCAAGUGGUAGGAAACCGAAAGGCGACCGACCCUUCGGGGAGCUUGCACAGGUGCUGCAUGGCUGUCGUCAGCUCGUGUCGUGAGAUGUUCGGUUAAGUCCGCUAACGAGCGCAACCCUCGCUGUGUGUUACAAGUGUCACACGGUACUGCCGGUCUUAAGCCGGAGGAAGGUGGGGAUGACGUCAAGUCAGCAUGGCCUUUAUGUCCUGGGCUACACACACGCUACAAUGGCCAACACAAUAGGUUGCUAAGCCGCGAGGUGGAGCCAAUCCUCAAAGUUGGUCUCAGUUCAGAUUGCAGGCUGCAACCCGCCUGCAUGAAGAUGGAGUUGCUAGUAACCGCAGGUCAGCUAUACUGCGGUGAAUACGUUCCCGGGGCUU
rnacentral:rRNA from 1 species